rnacentral:rRNA from 1 species
GACAGAGGGUGCAAACGUUGCUCGGAAUCAUUGGGCGUAAAGCGCACGUAGGCGGCCUGAUAAGUCGGGUGUGAAAGCCCUGGGCUCAACCCAGGAAGUGCACUCGAAACUGUCAGGCUUGAAUAUGGAAGAGGGUCGCGGAAUUCCCGGUGUAGAGGUGAAAUUCGUAGAUAUCGGGAGGAACACCAGUGGCGAAGGCGGCGACCUGGGCCAAUAUUGACGCUGAGGUGCGAAAGCGUGGGGAGCAAACAGG